UCGACUGAUCGAUCAUUCGCGAGAGGACGUGCAUUUUCCUAAUUGUUAUAAUUUUUAACGUUUGAUUGAAUGGUGUCCUCUGGAAACGCUUAUAUGACGUUUGGCCCUAGCUGCUCGGCGUUUGGCUGCUGCCUUUGGCUGCUAGCUUCAGCUACAUUAUUUUACCCUCGUUCGUUCCUCGAAACCAUCACGAAAACGGAAAAGCAGGCGUUUUAUGCCAUUUAUCUGAUUCCGCCGGCUAAGAUCGAGAAAGUGAGAAUCCAGGGAUGUCAUGUUGGCGCGUCGGGACGCUUAGAUUUAACGCUUAGCUUCACCGUUGAUGCACGAUCGGCGGAACAAUGGCGACGGCGCGGAAGCCGCGAAGUAACGGAGCGCCGAAAAAUAACGAUAAAUCCGUCGACGAGAAGAGGAGGCGGGUACGUUGUUCUCAUCUCUCGUGUUUACGAGUCUCUGUGAGUAUUCCGGGUGUACUCGGUAGAAUAAAUCACUCGAAGGGAGCUAGAAGGGGAAGAGGAGGAGGCCGCAUGAUCCUUUCUACCUUCGCCAUAGAUCAUCGGUAACGAUCGGCAUGAAAAACCGGGAAGCCCAGUUCGGGAGUGGCGCCCUUUCCGGAUGAAGGAAGCACGGAAUUCAUCGGCGAUUCCACCGGCGACGCUUCCGUCGAUAUUUCCUCAUUACAAUGGCGAGGACAACGAGAUGGGAGGGCGAAGGUUCGAAGAGAAGGAUGAAGAGGCGGGUAUAGCGCGAAAGACGAAGAAACCCACGAGAACGAUCAGAUCGACUGUCCCACGGGAAGGGCUUUCUUGGAAAAUCCCUAAGUCAAUCUGGAAGGAUUACUGGCGCUUGAAGAAAAUGGAGCAGGGUCGGGCGGAGAAUGCGAGGGAAAUUAUACGUGCGUAUGUGACAGCGAAUUGAGAUAAAUAAUAAUAGAGAUCAAUGUCGGGAUGAUUGGAUUUUGUUGCGAAUUAUUUGAUUUUUCUUUCCUUUUGCGUCUGCCAGAAAGAACCUAUUCUCGUAAAGCACACAACAGUAAAUGUCGCAUUAUUAUAUACUAUAAUGAGAUACGUUGAGAAUACCGCCAUUUCUUGCGUUUGUGAAUCAUUUGAUUCGUCCUCGAGUGACUUCAAGAGACCAUAAAUUUUGAAUGGGAAUAUCUUUAUAUCUCUGCCACCAAUUAAGUAAUUUUUUUCUUAUAUACGUUUAUACAUAGUUAUAACAAAUACACUAGUACAAUACCACUCUGUGUUGGUGGCGAAUGAUGCACGAGCCAUAAAACAAUUGUUUCUAUUAUUUAUUACGGACGUGUCUUCUCUCAUCCUUUGUCUGUCUCUAAACGAACUCCUGUAUCUUCUGAAAUAAUUGUGCAAAUGUUGUUUUUUCAAUUUGACAUACAAACUUAAUUACGAUGCUGUGCUCCUCUUGAGAUUUCGCAAAUGCCAUCGUAGUCACGAUAAAAAUUCCAUCUGUAUCAAACGACGAAGUGUAGUGGUAUAUAUUACAUAUGAGCAAUUUAUUAUGUUUAUGAAUUACACCGAUCUUAUAUGAAUGCGGUACAAUUAUUGCUGUGGCAAUGUAAUAGCGCGUAUUUGCAUAUCUGUAUUAGGGUAAAUAAUACGAUUGGCGCCAACAACGUCAGUUUGACAAAUGUAUCGGAGAAUGUUUAACGUUCGGGACUAUCCGCGGCUUUGAUUGUGACAGCGGAAUGUUGAGUUACGGAUGUGAAAGUGAGUGUAGAACACCAUGCUGUGACGAGCGAAGAGAUUCGCGCGCGAACAUCUGUUGAUGCGUCUAAAAUGAGUCUCUCUCGCAUGUCUCUUCUUCUCUCUUUAGAAUAUGGGAAGCUCGAAGUUAAUGAUUCUAACUCGAAACAAAUGUCGCUUAUUCUGACAGUAGCCAGCUAGCGAUUUCGUCCGAGCGAUAAAUUUGGCAGUAAAUUGUCGCGUUAACCGUAAAGUAAGUUAUCUUAAACGUUCGGGCAGCUGCAGGUGCGACUGACGCUUCGUUACGCCACGCUAUAAAGGCUUUCUGAGCCAUCGUCAGUUUUUAUUAAACUUAGCGAGGUGACGAAGGCUUGAAAAAGGUAAAUGAUCGAAGCCACGCAUCGAAAGACCAUUCGCGAUUAUAUGCGAAAAUCUGAUAUGUCCUGAUUUAAAAGCUGCAGCAUAAUUUUAUGGUUUGUACGUUGCAGAGAGCUCGUUAAUUUAAAAAUAAUUGUAAGAAUUAGUGAUCGUUUUUUUCUUGAAAAAAAAAAAAAAUCUAGUAAUAGGUAGCCACUAAAUGUAUUUUGUUUAGUAUACUGGUGUAAUGUUUAGCAAAUCUAAAUAAACCUAAUAAUCAACCAUUUAAUAAUAACUACUAAUUUUGAUGAUAUUAAAAACAUUUAAUUAAAAUUAUUUUAUCAAAGUUAAUAACUAUCUAGGCUUGAUUAUUAGUAGACUUUUUGUCAGUGUUCCCGAAAUUAAUAAUCAAAUGGGAUUCUUUCGAUUAAUGGAAUUAUCUUUAUUUAUUGGCCGAAAUUAACGGCGUUACAUUUCAGUGAUAAUAUUUUAUUUUUAAAACAGAUGCGUUUUGCAUCGUUUUAAAUAGUAGAUAACGUUUUCUAGAUAUUUUGAGGCAUAAAAGUCGCGUUAUCUGGACAUUCUGCCAAAUGAAUAACGUCGGAUGCGGAAAUUGGUGCUCAAUUUUGAUAUCAAAUUUCAAAGAUAACCAGCCAUGUAUUCGACAGAGUCACGUGGGACAGAGAAAAAUACCUCCGAAUGAAUAUUUAUGUAUGGAUAGUGAGCAGCCAUAGUCGACAUCCGUUGUACGGACUCGACCGGCAUGUCCGAAAAAAGAGGAUAUCGAUUCAUCAAUAUUUAUGAAGAUACAAAAACGCGAACGACGAACGUGAUGAAGGAUCUUUCGCACGUCGAAGUAACGUAGGUAACACUUUAACGGAAACCGGUGUAAAAUCGUGUAACACUGUAACUUAAGACGGCAGUUUAAAAAUUUAACGUAUCUUUUUUUUUACAUAAUUAUAAUGAAUUGAAGAAUGUCCAUUUUUAUGUGAUUUCAGUAAAAUUAAAGAUAACUUGUUAAAAAUAUAAGGAGACUUACAAAUGAUAAUAAACUCGUUUUUGUAAAAGAAUAAUAUGAAAAAAAGAAGUUCUUAAAAGAACAACAAAAGAUUAUAAAAUUAAGAUAAAUGUAAACUUUAUUAGUAAAAUAUAUUAUGAAUAAUCUCGCAGAGUAUAUUUUACUAAUGCUAAUUCUCUGUUACAGAUUCUAUAUAAAUUCUAUAUAAAGUAUUUUUAUAAAAAAAAUAUAUAUAUAUGGGGAAAAUAAGUUAAACCAAGAUUAAAGUUAUGCUACAGUGGUGUAAACGGGCUUUAUUAGAGAAUAUUAAAUUUGCAUAGCAGCCUAUAGCUUUACUGAUUCAAUCAAUCUAUUUUUUCUUUUUUCGUGAAAGCUCGGAUAUUUCUAGAAGUUGCGUAAUCUCGUUACUUCGCUUUACAAUAGAAUGAUCGAGAAAUGAGACCGACUUGAUGCGGAAUAUCCAACUUAAUGAAAUCAGAUUGAAAUGAAACGUGACUUUAGCUUCCGAACUGGACGUGACGAGCACGCGAAAUUAUCGAAAUUUUAUAACUUUUACAAACCCAGUCGGCCCCCGUAAUGAGCUGACAAGGGAAAUUCUGAAGGGAAAAUUUUUAUCGCGACGGGAAUUUCGUGGUUAUGUGACUGGAAUUGCCCGUCAUUUGUGGUUCCCUUGUUAGUUUUCCUCCUAUUGCUUAUUAUAUUGAAUAUUAUUUAUUAUUAUAACUGGGAAAGACUAAAUGGAAACGUCCUGUCUCUUUUUUAGUUAUUGUUGGACUAAAUUAUAAAUUAGAGAGGAGGGAAGGGAAGAAUAUGAUGUUAAGACAUCAUUACUGACUCCAAAGUAUUUAAUCUUUGUUUCUCAGAAAACGAUAUUUCCAGGUUGACUUCAUUUAUUUAGGCCGUCGCGCGUGUCGCUUUCGCGUCCACCCUCUUCCGCUUAAAUUGGACAUAAAAAAUUGCGUUCACAAGAAACGCCAUCAAUUUAAUCCUGAAUUUUCUCGCACAGAAAUUAUACAUAUUAUUUCAUUUUGAAUUGUACGAUGCUGUGGAUUUUGAUCGUCAUUUCUAUUAUGCAAUUGUUAAUUAUAGAUAUUCUUCAUAGAAAUAUCUAUAAGGAAUACGACAGGAAACAAUGAUGAAAAGAAUUGUUCUAAUUAUUAUAAUAAAAUAGCAUUUUAAUAGGCAUAUUAAAUAAUUACUAAAAUCUUGAAUAAACAAAAGAUGAAACUUUUAAUGUAUACUUGUAAAAAAUAUUUGUUUAGCAACUGCGACGUCGACAGUGUUCCAUAACUGUCUUUAUUACAAAACUCAGUUAAAUUUUGCUAUACGAUAUUUCGCUAAACUUAUCAUAAGGUUAGACGGGCAGGAUUUUCGGGUCCCGCUCGUUAACCAGCGGUUUCACAUAUGUGCCCCUCGCACGCGGUGCGUUGAACCAACUCCGCGAAAUUUAUAACCGGCGUUAUACGGAGUCGCAGGAAAGAAGACAAGAGCGUGAGAGCGCGAAAGGACUGGGGAAAGAGCGCGCCAGAGGCAGAAGGAAAGUGAGCGCGCGCAAUGCAGCGUGCCCGCACGUCGCGUCGUCGCGUCGCAUUUUCAUACAUGUACAAGAAGUUAAUUUUCAUCGCGUAAAAUAUACGUUUCGAUUUGUUGCGGGGUGCGAAAGCGGUCAUGUCACAUUGUCGACGCUGUCUCGUCUGUCGUGAAAUGCAUUCGCGACACGUGCAUUGUGCAAAUUAAUUGAUUUAAUCUUACGUUUACAUAGAAUGAUUUCUAAGUAAAUACAAAAAAUAAACAUAAUAUUUCUUGAAUUAAGAAGAAAGAAUUUUAGGAAGAAAAGACCUUAUACAUCUAUCCUAAAUUGCUUUGUUUUCAACAUAUAAGAGAAAUAGAAAAAGAGAAAAAGAAAAGCUAUUUCGCGCGUGCUGCGAUUAAGCGCCCAACGGUGCAACCCGAUCGUUCUCUUCACAAAGCUUCGCGUUGCUUGAUGUCCACUGCUUUGCGAUUCAUCGACAUAUAGUUUUGCUUUUCGAGAUAAAAAAGAGGGAAUAAGUGAUCGACCGAAGAGGAGUGGAGAUCUUUAUACAUCAUUGUCUUGUUAGUUAAGGGUGCUUUUCAUUUAGUGACACAAGUCGACACAAGCAUCGUUCUAUCUUUUUUUUAUGUUCAAUGAGUAACAAAGGUAAUGCGAAAAAAAACCAUUAGAAAGAAAUACGUUGAAAACGAAUCAAUCGACCAUCCAUCGUUCACUCAAUCUCUCUCUCUUUCUCUCUCUCUCUCGCUCUCCCCCCCCCCUCCCCCUCUCAUUUUCUUGCACUUUGAGUCGUCAGACGUAACAGAAGCUCGUGAGAAGCUGAAAAGACGUUCGUGCCGAUAUCAAGUUUCUCGAGUAAGCAUUGCCACAUUAUUUUCGCAAUGAAUUUAAUCAAUUUUGGCUAUAAUUAAAAAAUAGAUAUCGUAGUUAUAGCGUCUUUUCUCUAAAAUUGAUGUAUCAUAAAAUUAAUUAUAUAUUACAUUUACUUCAUAAUUAUAUGUCAGAAAGACGUUUGAUUGUUUUUCUAAUAAAUGUAAUUAUACAUAUACAUGUAAAUAUAUCUCUAUAUUUAAAAUCUAUUUGUGUACUAAUUACCGCGAUUUACUUUUACUUUUAGUCCAUAUGAUUAUUAAAUUAAUGCUGUAUUAAUUAAUUUCUCAUUAAUUAUUGAGAAAACUCGUAAAAUGAAGAUUUUUACAUUCUCUUCAACUUGCUCUAUCUAUGCAAAAUCUUGCACGAGAGGUGAUGCAAUUACAUCGGAGGAAAAAUAAUACAAAACACGAUAUUCUACGUACAUCUCUGCAGAGUUAAUGAAACGCGCUAUCAAUUAUCGCCAUACUUCUCGCCGAGAAAUUCCUUUUAUUCGUCUUACUUUGCGCAAGCAAAUGAGAAGAUAAAUCACGAAUGAGUUAAUUCCCGCGGGUGCAUUUAUUGUGCGACUUUAUGAUGUAUUAAUGUGUGGACGUCACCACAUCACGUUUUGUCCGCUGCCGCGAGCUGCAAUUCGUUAUCUCCCAUUUUGUCAAUUAAUAUUAGUCAAAUCCUAAUUAAAUUGCGUCGCUUAAGAAUUUCUCAUUGACAUGUACACGACGAGAAAAGAACAAUGAAUAAUAAUUAAGCAUUAAUUGUGCACGUACGUGAAUGAAAAAGAAUAUAAUUUUCACAAUCUAUAAUGUAGAAAAUAAAUUACAAAAAUAAUAAUUAUCAUAAAAUCACAAUUACAUUGCAUAAUAAAUGGAUAUAAAAUAUUUCAAUGUUCAAUGACAGUAUUAGUACAAUGACAGAUUUUUAAGUAAAUAAAAAAGUAUGAAUCGAUCUUUUAUUAAAUUUUCUGCAAUUGAACACGAUUGUUUGUAUUCACAGGAGAGAAUUAAUUAUGUUUAAUCGUGACGAGCAGGUCAAGUCGCUUUACCAACUUGAAUUUCGCAUAUUGUUUCAUACAAUAUGUUUAAGUACAUACUCGCUAAUCUCGGUUAUCUACACGUCGCGGAUAAAAACACAUUUACGUAUUAAUUUCGGCGACAGGACGAACGUUCGACACGUGCAUCGCCCAACAUGUGGGUGACUGCACGCGCGAAUGCGCUUUGAUGUAACUCUCUUUUCAUUGAUUCAGAAUGAAAGACCGUCAAGCUCUCUUCCCUUCAACGAAAUAAUCAUCCGCAUCAAGGAUUUUCCGCGUAAUUAUCUUGACGAUUAACCGCGCGGGCGCGGCCACCGUAUGGAGUUAAUUCUAUCCUCAUCCCCCUUGUGCCCUCUUCUCCCGCGUUUCCCUCUGUUCCCACUUACCGCGAGAUGAAAACACGCGCGCGCGCGCGCGUGCGGGAAAUACGAGAGAAUGCCAUAAUUGCAACUGAUAAAGCCAUUACGGAACUGAAUUUGUCGGAGAGAGUUCCAGGACGGGCCACCACUCUAUUAUUUAUCGUUUAACCCGUGAGAUUGCUAAUUGCCUUAUUAAAUUCGACAUCGAUAUGCGCUUGAUCGACGAAUUAUCCAGAGGAAUAAAAUUUCUUUUUUCUUUUUAUAAAUUCUUAAUGUAUCGUGUUCACAUACAAUUCUUUAGUAUUUUUUUAAAUUUUUUCCGCUCGAUCUAAUUCGGGCUGCUCGUUUCAGCCAGUUAAUAGAAUUUCUCUGUGGUUUCGCUAUACCAGAUUGCCAAUUUAACGACAUUCCCAAUUCUCGCGGUUCCAAAAUGCGGAUUACGCCGUUUUCCCACAUUUGCCGGCGAUGAUAUGCAGCGUGAAUUCCUGGCCUUUAUUGCCUCGUACAUUGCUGUCAUCACGUACCGUAUUGAAUCAGCACUGUCGCGGCGACGUUAUAGCGAAAAUUUUCUCCGGUUUAUUGGAUACAUCAGGUGUGCCUAAUUAGCGCUUGCUGCAAGUACCAAAUCGACCAUGUUACUACUAUAUGUUGUGGAUUAUGCUAAAUAAUUAAAGAA